rnacentral:sRNA from 1 species
GCGGCCGCGCGGGCAGCGGACGGCAGACGGUGCCCGGCGCCCACCGGUUCUGGAGGCUGGGAAGUCCAAGACAAGGUGCCAGCAUCUGGUGAAGGCUGCUGUCUGCUUUCAAGAUGGUGCCUCGAAUGCUGUUUCCUCACAUGGCAGAAGGGCUGCCCCUGAUGGGGCCUGGCAAUGACUGAGCAGGCCCAGCCCCAGAGGACAAGGAAGAGAAGCCAUAUUGAGGAGGGCAAGAAGUGACGCCCGGUGUAGAAUGACUGCCCUGGGAGGGUGGUUCCUUGGGCCCUGGCAGGGUUGCUGACCCUUACCCUGCAAAACACAAAGAGCAGGACUCCAGACUCUUCUUGUGAAUGGUCCCCUGCCCUGCAGCUCCACCAUGAGGCUUCUUGUGACCCCACUCUUGCUAGCUUGGGUGGCUGGUGCCACUGCCGCUGUGCCCGUGGUACCCUGGCAUGUUCCCUGCCCCCCU